rnacentral:pre_miRNA from 9 species
UCGCAAUAGCGUAACAGUUAACUGAAAUUUGUAUGGAGUUGGAACGAUUGUCUAAAUUUGCCACUAGGGGCGUUGUUCCAACUGCAUACUAAUUUGACUUACGUUAUACGCUAUCGA